rnacentral:lncRNA from 1 species
UUUUUUUCUUUCUUUUUUUUUUUUUUGGAUUUGCCAAUGCUCCCUAAUGAAUUAAUGUAAUUCAAGAAACAAUGGAGGGGGGAACAUUAUUACUCAGAAAAAUAAAACUCUAAGUUCCUAUGUAUGUGAUAGUUUCUGUUAACUAGAAUAAUACUGUUCAGAAUGAUGAAAAAAAUGUUCCUGUAAAAGACUAAAAUCGACUCUUUGCCCACAGAAAUGAAAAGGGUGGUAUAACUCUCUACCUGGCAAAAACAGCCAUAUGCAGUGUCCUAUAACCCAAUACCGCACUAUUUAGACAGGUUUCCUGUACUACCACUUAGCUUCCUUCCCAGGAAAAUAAUCAAGUCACCCUCAUAAGAACCACAGGCUUAAAUGAAGCUAUUGUCUUAGUAAAAGAAGCACCAAAAUGGCUUCAGGACCCACAGUGAUUUUUGCACAUCUAUAAAAUGAAGAUAAUAGCACUAUCGAUCCUAGAGGCAGUCUUUCAGGCAGAGAACUCUCCAUUCUGCAAGAUAAUAAUACUAAAACUGUUUUUAAUAUCAACAAAAAUUCAUGGCAUAUUUUAUAAUAACUAACAUACAUUAGUCCCCAGAACCUAGUAUUUUGUACACUCCAUUUUUUAUUGUCUAGAUUUUAAAGGCUAUAUUUUCUAUCUGUUCACUGAGCUUAUAAGUAGGCUUUACAAGUAACAGUUAUGCUGAUUAUUUUGCACAUGAAGAUACGACUAUAAUUUCCUGAAUAAACAAAUAUCCAUCAACAAAUAUUUACUGAGCAUCUUCCAUGUUCCAUGAAUCUUGCCAAGUACUGAAAGAAAAUAUUUUUAGGUAUGAGCAAAUCAUUCCCUAGAUCAUAUAAAAGACAAAGAGUUUACUUUCCCAAAUUCAGUCUAAUAAUGACUACUGAAUAUUUAUGAAUAUGAAUAAUUAGCUAACCCUUAUACAUUUAUUGUUAGUUUAUUCUCUAACUGGAACUGUGUUAUUACUUUAUGAUAACCAUUUUAGUAAGUUUUGCUUUUGUUAUUACAGUAAAAUAUGCAUAACAAAAUUUACCUUUUUGCCAAUUUCAGAUGUACGGUUCAGUCGCACUGAAUACAUUCACAUUAUUGUGCAACCAUCACCACUAUCCAUCUCCAGAACUUUUUCUUCUUCCCAAACCAAAAUUCUGUAUCAUUAAACAAUUAUUCUCCAUUCUCUGCCCCCAUUCCACCCAGCCCUUGGCAACUACUAUUCUAUUUUCUGUUUCUAUGAAUUUGACUACCUAAGUACCUCAUCUAAGUGAAAUCAUACAGUAUUUGUCCUUUUAUGUCUGGCUUCUUUCGGUUAGCAUCAUGUCUUCAAUGUUAAUCCAUGUUAGCAUGUCUCAGAAUUUCAUUUCUUUCUUAACACUGAGUAAUAUGCAUUGCAUAUCUCACUUUAUCCAUUCAUCCAUCAAUGGAUAUUCAGUUUACUUCCACCUUUUGGCUAUUGUGAAUAAUGCUGCUAAGCACACCAAUGUACAAAUAUGUAUUCAAGUCCCUGAUUUCUAAUCUUUUGAGAAUAUACAUAGAAGUGGAAUUGCUAGACAAGUUUUGCUUUCAGAAAUUCCAACUUGCAAUAAACAUAUCUUUUCAUUUUUUUAAAAAGAUUUUUAUUUGAGAGAGAGAGAGAACAUGCAGGGGGAGGAGCAAAAGGGGAAGGAGAGGCAGGGGAAAGAAUUUCAAACAGACUCCACCCUGAGGAGGGAGCGGUAGGAAGGGCUGCAAGAUCCUGAGAUCAUGACCUGAGCCGAAACAAGGGUCAGAGGCUUAACCAACUGAGCCACCCAAAUGUCCCUAUUUCUCAAUUAAAAAAAAAAAAAAAAAUCAGUAUCAUCAAAUUUGGUACCUAGACAGAAUUUUUUUUUUUUUUUUAAGUAGGCUCCACACUGGGCCUGAUCUCCCUGAGAUUGUGAGAUCAAGACCUGAGCUGAGAUGAAGUCAGACACUUAGCGAACUGAGCCACCCAAGCACCCCUCUAUACUGAAUUUUUAACCGCAAAAAUAGCUAUUUUGUUGUCUUACAUUGUAUACUUUAAAAACACAAACUAAAAAUAAAAGUGCUUUUCACACUUAGGACUUAAAGGUAAAUCUCCUGGUAAUACCAGUGUUAGCCAACUUUUCUGUAGCAAAAUGCAUCACUUUGGUGAUGUCGCCUAUAAAUACCCUUCUUAUUUCCCCACACCUUGGAUCCUCUGCCUUUCAGGGUCAACUAUCAGCACACUUAACCACCAAGCCCUUCUGUUCUUGUAGCUGACACGUUCCCCUUCAACUAUUAACACAGUCUCAUCUCCCACUUCCAAAUAACACAUACAUAUUUUAAUAAUACCACCACAAUGCUCACAAUUUUAAGCUAAUAGUUAAUUAACAGGAAGAAUUCCAGUAUCCAAAUGGAGCAAGAACAAAGUAGUAUGUUUCAGAUCAAACUGUGACUCUCCCUCAACACAAUAUUUCAUUUCAUACCACCAAAAAAAACCAGAUGUAACACAGCUGGCCCAUAAUACAAAUAUUACUAUCCAGUCUUCAGUGGUGUUACAAAAGGAUUCCGCUAUAUAUAAAAAAAAUUAAUAUGCAAGAAUUCUACUCACAUUAGUAUGUGAGUGGUUUUUAGAUUUAUGAAAAUAUAAGUAAAGCACUUCAUCACUAUUGUGAAUGGAAAUAUAAUCUAGAGAUACAAAGCCAUUUUUGAAUUCCUGUGAAUUACUGACCACUUGAGAAGAGAAAUGUAGUUUCUAUCAAAAAGAAAGAGAGUUAUUAUGCCUUGCAUACAAUCCAUAAUUUUAAGACACCAGUGGCAUGAUGAAGUUAUUAAAGUCCUUCUGACAAGGUAAAGACCAUCAUAACUCACUGCCACCUUCAUCAAAGCUGGUGAAUUAUGGAGUAUAUGAAGGGUAAUUACCCUUCAAGUAAAGUAUGUGGGCAGUUCCUUAUUAUAAAUUUUUAUCUUUAAUACAUAAAUUGUCACACUUUGUUAACAAACAAUAUGAAGCAAGCUGAAUUAUGUGAUUAAGUUAUAAAAGAAAAUUAUUUCAUAUCUGUUCAUUUCUCAUUCAAGACAUUAAAUAUAUGAUUUUUGUUACUAGGGUCCAGUGAUUGGCACUAAAGUCAGUCAGAGCUGUGGAAAUACAAAGUAACUGAAAUAGGAUAAGACUUUCCUCAAAUAUUUUUACAGCAAGGAAGGACAAAAAAUUUUCAAAGAUGUGAUACAAUUUUAGUUCUUAAAUCAACAAAGAACCCAUUUUGCCAAACUGGUCAUCAAUGAUAGUAAUAACCUUGAAAUAUCUGUAACACAUCCAUCAUUUAAUAAAUCCCAACUAUGCACUCACUAUCUGCGCCAAAUCAGGACUUAAGAGAACUCCAAUUCCUUAGAUGGGAGGCUAUAAAUAAAUAUUGGAAAUAACCAAUAUUUCCUGAGAAUAUCCAACAUUAGUUUUAAUUGCAAAGCUCUAUAUGUUUCCAUUUAUUCACCAAAGAAGCCAUACUCUACUGGCCCCCCAAGAGCACCAGGAGUUUGGAUUUCCUUGAUUAGAGUUGCACAAUAGUUCUCUUCUAGAAGUAAAGGUGAGUGGGAUCUGGUCCAGUCUGACUUUAGGCGCUUAGACCAUAAUGUGGCAUUUCUCCCGUAGUUUUUACUGAGCCUAGGAAGUCUGUCCAACCAUGGGCAAUUCCAAAAGCACAAGAACUCCAAGUAUCACAGGUUAGUGAGAGCUAUAUUUAGGAUCUACUUGGGCAUAUGGCCAAGUCACAAGAGCUCUGUGGGUCUGGUAGGGCCUGGACAAACAAAUACCCAGCACUAUAUCUAUUCUUCUCCUGCCAGCUCCCUACCUCAAAUGGAUUGAAAAAUGUAAAUCAUAAAACUAUUUUUGAGAAGGAUAAGUAAAACGUUGAAGAUGAAGCAUUUCUCUCUGGCCUUCCCAUCAGCAGAAUGAUUUCAAAACUAAGGGCAGAUUUUAAGGGAAAUUCAGAUUAUAAUUCAAGAGUGGUGAUGAGCAGCCUUAAUUUACAAAUCUCAGAUGUAAGAGUAAGAUGAUUUUCUGUUUCCAGAGGUGCUGCCUUCUUCUCACUGUGCUGUAAGGGUCAAAUGUUGCAGCAGGGAAUUAUCAUUAUUAUGCCUAAUUAUAAUCACACUCUGCUUGGUAGCUUUCUCUCACAUAACUUUCGAUGUAGAAAUUAUUACAAUAUAUUCUUGACCUUUAUACCAUGCACUGAAAGACUAGUAAUUUACUUAUUCCUGUUCAGAGUGAAUUAUUGAUUUGCUACUGACUACUCAGAAUGAAGAUUAAUGAAAUACAUUUAAAAUUGUAAAGAAUGUGGAGCCUAGGUCCUCCUGACCCUCAACUUGUAGGUAACAAACUUAAAUGUGUCUAACCUGAAACGCAAGUUCUAGUGUCCAUAUAUAUAGAAAUUACACUACGUUAUCGGGAUACUUCUACAUUGUCCCCAUGAAUGAUUCAGAAUUUAAUUGCUAGCAACUUGCUCAUUUGUAACCAUUUCCUUCAAUGUUCCGAAGUUCAUAAAAUUGACAGAAAUAAGACUCAGAAACUGUCCAUAGCAACAAUCUAGAAAGUACAAAGUAAGACUAAAUAGAGAGUGAGGAAAUUCGUUUUCAAGAUUAGUAAGAGCUUACAUUUGAUGAUUGCUAGCUAAAUGCUUGCCACUUUCCAAAAUAUUUUUACAAGUAUGAAUUCAUUAAAUGCUUAUUACAAAAACCCUACAAAAAGGGUACUAUCAGGGAUCCCUGGGUGGCGCAGCGGUUUAGCGCCUGCCUUUGGCCCAGGGUGCGAUCCUGGAGACCCGGGAUUGAAUCCCACAUCGGGCUCCCAGUGCAUGGAGCCUGCUUCUCCCUCUGCCUGUGUCUCUGCCUCUCUCUCUCUCUCUCUCUCUCUCCCUCUCUCUCUCUCUCUCUGUGACUAUCAUAAAUAAAAAUUAAAAAAAAAAAA